GACGAACGCUGGCGGCGUGCUUAACACAUGCAAGUCGAACGGAAAGGCCCUGCUUUUGUGGGGUGCUCGAGUGGCGAACGGGUGAGUAACACGUGAGUAACCUGCCCUUGACUUUGGGAUAACUUCAGGAAACUGGGGCUAAUACCGGAUAGGAGCUCCUGCUGCAUGGUGGGGGUUGGAAAGUUUCGGCGGUUGGGGAUGGACUCGCGGCUUAUCAGCUUGUUGGUGGGGUAGUGGCUUACCAAGGCUUUGACGGGUAGCCGGCCUGAGAGGGUGACCGGCCACAUUGGGACUGAGAUACGGCCCAGACUCCUACGGAAGGCAGCAGUGGGGAAUAUUGCACAAUGGGCGGAAGCCUGAUGCAGCAACGCCGCGUGCGGGAUGACGGCCUUCGGGUUGUAAACCGCUUUCGCCUGUGACGAAGCGUGAGUGACGGUAAUGGGUAAAGAAGCACCGGCUAACUACGUGCCAGCAGCCGCGGUGAUACGUAGGGUGCGAGCGUUGUCCGGAUUUAUUGGGCGUAAAGGGCUCGUAGGUGGUUGAUCGCGUCGGAAGUGUAAUCUUGGGGCUUAACCCUGAGCGUGCUUUCGAUACGGGUUGACUUGAGGAAGGUAGGGGAGAAUGGAAUUCCUGGUGGAGCGGUGGAAUGCGCAGAUAUCAGGGGGAACACCAGUGGCGAAGGCGGUUCUCUGGGCCUUUCCUGACGCUGAGGAGCGAAAGCGUGGGGAGCGAACAGGCUUAGAUACCCUGGUAGUCCACGCUGUAAACGGUGGGUACUAGGUGUGGGGUCCAUUCCACGGGUUCCGUGCCGUAGCUAACGCUUUAAGUACCCCGCCUGGGGAGUACGGCCGCAAGGCUAAAACUCAAAGGAAUUGACGGGGCCCCGCACAAGCGGCGGAGCAUGCGGAUUAAUUCGAUGCAACGCGUAGAACCUUACCUGGGUUUGACAUGGAUCGGGAGCGCUCAGAGAUGGGUGUGCCUCUUUUGGGGUCGGUUCACAGGUGGUGCAUGGCUGUCGUCAGCUCGUGUCGUGAGAUGUUGGGUUAAGUCCCGCAACGAGCGCAACCCUUGUUCACUGUUGCCAGCACGUUAUGGUGGGGACUCAGUGGAGACCGCCGGGGUCAACUCGGAGGAAGGUGGGGAUGACGUCAAGUCAUCAUGCCCCUUAUGUCCAGGGCUUCACGCAUGCUACAAUGGCUGGUACAGAGAGUGGCGAGCCUGUGAGGGUGAGCGAAUCUCGGAAAGCCGGUCUCAGUUCGGAUUGGGGUCUGCAACUCGACCUCAUGAAGUCGGAGUCGCUAGUAAUCGCAGAUCAGCAACGCUGCGGUGAAUACGUUCCCGGGGCU
rnacentral:rRNA from 1 species